AUGUGGGUGACCUGACUAACCCUUUGUUUUUUGUUGUUGUUUUUUUUUUUCAGAUAAGCGGACACAAUGUACCCCAGACCGAGACCAGUUGAAGCAGCCUGGGAAGAAGAUGGGGCCCAAUUGGUCUCGAGGGGUAGCGGCUCAGCAGGGAGACGAGCGAGGCGAUACACAACCCUUUGCCCGUCUGCUGAAGGUGCCGAAGGUCCAUCCUAUAAGAGAUCAAGCUGAAGGAACUGAGAUAGGCAG